rnacentral:rRNA from 1 species
CAGCAGCCACGGUAAAACAGAGGGUGCGAGCGUUAAUCGGAUUUACUGGGCGUAAAGCGUGUGUAGGUUGUUGUUCAAGUCAGUUGUGAAAUCCCUGGGCUCAACCUGGGAACUGCUUCUGAGACUGAACGACUAGAGUACGGUAGAGGGUGGUGGAAUUUCCGGUGUAGCGGUGAAAUGCGUAGAUAUCGGAAGGAACAUCAAUGGCGAAGGCAGCCACCUGGGCCUGUACUGACACUGAGACACGGAAGCGUGGGGAUCAAACAGGAUUAGAUACCCCAGUAGUCCCUGUCUCUUAUAC